UUUCCGUAGGUGAACCAGCGGAGGGAUCAUUAAUGAUCCCGUAUUUUAUGGACAUUUUUGAAAAUCCAUCUCUACCUUGUGUGCAAUGUUAGAUCUCGUCAAUGUUGGCGAGCUUCUUCUACAUCAUAUCAUCCUCUACCUAAUUUGUCUGAAAGAUAUUAUGAUUCCUUAAUUCAAGAUACAACUUUCAACAAAGGAUCUCUUGAAACUGGCAUCGAUGUACACCGCAGCAGCUCGGAAGCGGCAACGUCUAAACUCCAGUCACUUAGUACGAACCAC
rnacentral:misc_RNA from 1 species